UACGUAGGCAGCAAGCGUUGUCCGGAAUUAUUGGGCGUAAAGAGCUCGUAGGCGGUGUGUCACGUCGGCCGUGAAAACCUGCAGCUUAACUGUGGGCGUGCGGUCGAUACGGGCAUCACUGGAGUUCGGCAGGGAGACUGGAAUUCCUGGUGUAGCGGUGAAAUGCGCAGAUAUCAGGAGGAACACCGGUGGCGAAGGCGGGUCUCUGGGCCGAUACUGACGCUGGAGGAGCGAAAGCGUCGGGGAGCAAACAGG
rnacentral:rRNA from 1 species